GAUGAACGCUAGCUACAGGCUUAACACAUGCAAGUCGAGGGGCAGCAUGGUCUUAGCUUGCUAAGGCCGAUGGCGACCGGCGCACGGGUGAGUAACACGUAUCCAACCUGCCGUCUACUCUUGGACAGCCUUCUGAAAGGAAGAUUAAUACAAGAUGGCAUCAUGAGUCCGCAUGUUCACAUGAUUAAAGGUAUUCCGGUAGACGAUGGGGAUGCGUUCCAUUAGAUAGUAGGCGGGGUAACGGCCCACCUAGUCUUCGAUGGAUAGGGGUUCUGAGAGGAAGGUCCCCCACAUUGGAACUGAGACACGGUCCAAACUCCUACGGGAGGCAGCAGUGAGGAAUAUUGGUCAAUGGGCGAGAGCCUGAACCAGCCAAGUAGCGUGAAGGAUGACUGCCCUAUGGGUUGUAAACUUCUUUUAUAAAGGAAUAAAGUCGGGUAUGUAUACCCGUUUGCAUGUACUUUAUGAAUAAGGAUCGGCUAACUCCGUGCCAGCAGCCGCGGUAAUACGGAGGAUCCGAGCGUUAUCCGGAUUUAUUGGGUUUAAAGGGAGCGUAGAUGGAUGUUUAAGUCAGUUGUGAAAGUUUGCGGCUCAACCGUAAAAUUGCAGUUGAUACUGGAUAUCUUGAGUGCAGUUGAGGCAGGCGGAAUUCGUGGUGUAGCGGUGAAAUGCUUAGAUAUCACGAAGAACUCCGAUUGCGAAGGCAGCCUGCUA
rnacentral:rRNA from 1 species